GUGUGACCUCAUCUAGACUUGAUUAUGUCUGCAAAGACCCUGUUUCCAAUCCAAUUUAAUUAUCUUAUCUGUUUCUUAGUCACAAAGGACUUAUCUAUAAAAUGGAGAUAAAAAUAGUACCUACUUUGAAGUGUUUUGUAAAAUUGAAUUCAUCUGAAUAAAACAGAGCGUCUGGAACAUAGUAAAGACUCUUAAAACCCCUAGAUUGCUGGCUCCCUGUAUCCUUCCUAAUAAGACUCUGUUUGUGGAAUUGAGAGAGAAGAGGGGUGAGUCAGAGACCUUAUUUGUAUUUUUAUUGCAGUCCUACAAAUGUUAUACCAAUGUCUGAUGGCCUAAAACGUUUUUAAUACAGCAUUCCCUAGGCAAUGGGGAGCCAGGGAUGGGUUUUUGAACACGGAAGUACCAUGGUGAGAAAAAGAGUUAGGAAGGUUUCUUUUGUAGCUCUAUAGAGGAUGGAUUGAUUGGAUUGGGAAUUCAGCUCUUUCCUUCCAAGAUUUCUUUCUGUUUUUUUUCCAGUGAGUCUAUUAGGAAGGCUCUCUAGACCUAAUUGGCAAACGGAAAUAAUGCACCUCCCCUCCCCCAUAAGGCUUGGGGUGCCUACUCAAAUUAAGUCCCAAAGACUGAUCACUUGGGUAUCCCAGUUCUUCCAAGUAAUUAUGCAGAUUUGGCUGCAAUAUGUCCCUGGGUCAAAGCUAUAUAUUGAAAAAGAGCAAGCUAUAUCACCAAGAAGGAGAUGGGAUUUGCAAAAUCCCUUCUCUAGAGGAGAAGUCAUAAACUGAAGUCUUGGGAUAAGGCAGAGGUGCAGAGUAAACCACUACCCUGAAAUCUGGAAAGGCAGGUGCACCCACAGAUCCUCAGCUGAGAUCCAAUUACCUGAAAUAGAAGCUGCCAUUAGGAACACUUAAAAGGUAAUUUUAAAAACUAAGUGUAUUAGUCCAUUUUCACACUGCUAUAACUGAGACUGAGUAAUUUAUAAAGAAAGCAGGUUUAAUUGACUCCAAAACAAACACAUGUAAGGUAAAAAUAUGCUCUAACAUUGUAUAACAAUCUCAACACUAACAUUUGUUGGUGGACAUUUAUAGAUUUACUAAAAGACACCAUCUUUUUUUUUUUUUUUUUUUUUUUGAGACAGACUCUCACUCCCUCACCCAGGCAGGAGUGCAAUGGUGCGAUCUCGGCUCACUGCAACCUCUGCCUCCCAGGUUCAAGCAAUUUUCCUGAGUACAAAUAUCAGCAACUGCAAUCUCUGUUUCAGACAUGCACAUAUACAGACUCGCAAUGAACAAUGACAGUCAUAACAACUAUUUCAAAACAACUCAAGCAAAGCAACUUCCUAGUUAUCACUCAUAUCUCAACAGAUAUUAGAAUCCAAAUCUUUGUAGAGUUUCUAUCCUCAAGCAGAAAUUCAUAUUUUAUAGUCACUGACAUCAUCAUAUAACAAAUAG
rnacentral:lncRNA from 1 species